rnacentral:sRNA from 1 species
AGCCUCCCAAAGUACUGGGAUUACAAGUAUGAGCUACCAUGCCCAGCCCCAGUGACGAAUUUCUUUUUUCCUUCUUGCUCCCACUGCUUAACUUGAUUAGCCUUUA